rnacentral:rRNA from 1 species
GACGAACGCUGGCGGUGCGCCUUAUGCAUGCAAGUCGAGCGAAGCUUUUCAGUAGUUUACUACAGAAAAUGACUGAGCGGCGAACGGGUGAGUAACGCGUGAGCAAUCUACCUUAGUUACAGGGAUAGCCCGAGGAAACUCGGAUUAAUACCUGAUAUUCUUUAUAUUUCGCAUGAAAUAAAAAGGAAAGGUCAGCCGAACUAAGAUGAGCUCGCGUUCUAUCAGCUAGUUGGUGAGGUAAAAGCUCACCAAGGCUACGACGGAUAGCUGGUCUGAGAGGACGAUCAGCCACACUGGGACUGAGACACGGCCCAGACUCGUACGGGAGGCUGCAGCAGGGAAUAUUGCGCAAUGAGCGAAAGCUUGACGCAGCGACACCGCGUGUGGGAUGACGGAUCUAGGUAGGUAAACCACUUUCAGGAGGGAAGAAAAUGACGG